rnacentral:pre_miRNA from 1 species
GAGUUACUCCCUCCGUCCGGAAAUACUUGUCAUCAAAAUGGAUGAAAAUGGAUGUAUCUAGAACUAAAAUACAUCUAGAUACAUCCAUUUCAAUGACAAGUAUUUCCGGACGGAGGGUGUACUUA